AAAAUGUUUGAUUUUUUUAAAUGGUCACCAUGGCAACCAUUAUGAAAAUUCAUGAUGGCUCAAUAUCCAGAUUUUUCUGUAAUAUGUUUGGCUGCAUCUGUGCCAAAUGUAGUGCUUUUAUCGCCAAAUGCACAAUUCUUAUGAAAAAAU